ACCUAAAGCCGUCAUUCACCUCUUUUUCUCUCAUCAGUCCCUUAAUCCCUCUCUCUCUCCUCUCCUCUCCUCGAUCUCCUCCCCGUCAUUCACCUCUUUCUUUCAUUUCAAACUCAAGCCUUUUCUCCUCUUCUUGAAUUGAUUUUUGGGCAUUUUAGAUCGUGAGGUAAGAAGUCCUUUAAUUGUUUUUUCCUCUUCUUGAAUUGAUUUCUGGGCAUCUAAUUGUUUAAGUUAUUGAAUUUGUUCUUGUGAAUUCUAAUUUGCUUUAUUUUUUUCUACAUGCAAUUUGUAUUUGAUUCAUUUUUGGCAUUUAUAUGGUUCGAUUAUCCUUUGUAUGUAUAAACGAAUAAUAAAUCUAAAAAAAAAUAUGUUCUUCAAUUGAAACAAGUAAUACAUGCAAUCAGUAAUGAAUUUAGUUCAUCUUUGUUGAUUAAUACCUGAUUGCCGAAUUUUUUUGUAAUUUUUUUGUUUAUAGAGAGAAUUAAGAAACCUGAUAUGGCAUGUUGAUUAAUUCUAGGGUUCUUCGAGUUCUUUAGCGAAAUCGAUCAAUUUAUCCCCAAUUUGUUCAUUUUUAUUGGUAAUUUAUGGGUUGGUAUAAUCUCUGUUAAUCUGUUGUUGAAGUGAGAAUUUGGGUAUUGCUUUUUUAUUCUGUGUGCAAGGUUCUUUCAUUUCUUCAUUCUUUGGUGUUUUAAUCUGCAAUUGGUGAAUGUUGGUGAUUUUUAGUUGAUGUUUUCUACCUGAUAAGUUACAUGCGCUCAGAAAUUUUUAUAUACUACAAUGGCCUCUUCAUGUUAGGUUUUGUUUUAUGCAACCUCUACAAUGUUGGCUUUCUUACUAAUUUCAAAGUACUCAAUUUAUUACAUACGAGAGGGGCUGCCAAGGAUCCUACCCGGGCCAUGGGCUUGUUAAAAUCGUCUGAAUUCAAGGUUAAUACUGAAUGUGCCUGGAAAGUAAUUUCGAAGUGAGACCUCAUCUGAUUGAUUUGAACACUGCCAAUGUCUAGUACUGUUGGCCUUGUGAUACCCUGCAAAGCUGUUGUAGCAUGGGAGGCCAGGAAGCCGUUGGUGAUAGAGCAAGUAGAGGUUGCUCCACCAUAGACCUUGGAAGUCAGAGUUAAAAUCAAGUACACUACACUUUGUCUUACUGACUUUUACUUUUGGGAAGCUAAGGGCAGUACUGCUACACAAUUGUUUCCUUGCAUUUUUGGCUAUGAAGCAGCUAGACAAGCUUGUGGUCUCCACUUCCUGCUCACUUCUUCACACUACUGUUGAUCUUGUUAACGAGACUUAAAGCUUGAUGAUGAAAUCAAGUCAUGGCUUGCAUUUGCUGCACAGAAAGUUGUUGAAGUUAACGCUUUGGCCAAGGCAUUGUCUGGUCAGAAGGAUGAGGCACGAGACUUGCUACCAAAUUGCUUUGGCCAUCAAGGAUGAGGUUGAGGAUCUUGAGAAGGCUUGUAUCAAUUUUGUCCAAAUUGACGAGGUUGCUUUGAGAGAAGGUUUGCCACUCGGGAAGCCUGAGCACGGUAGCUACUUGAAGUGGGCCGUCCACUCCUUCCGUAUCACCAAUGUUGGAGUCCAAGACCCAGAAUUAUGCUGCAGAUUUCCCCAUUGCCCAGGAAUUUACACUAAUGAGAAAGUCAAAGCAUGGAAGAAAGUGGUUAAUGCUGUUCAUGCAAAGGGUGCAUUUAUCUUCUGUUAGUUGGUCGAGCCUUGCAUACAAAUUAACUAUUCACUCUAUAUAGUUAUAAACUUUCAUUGUUGUAUUAAGGACUAUUAUUUAUGUAGUAGCUUUUGACUCAUGUUAGGGAGUUGUUGUAAAGUUGUAUCUUUGAUUUUAUAAUUAAUUAAAUUUUACAUUUAUUAAUAUUGAAUAUUGAUAAUAGUAAUUAAAAUUUGGC